rnacentral:lncRNA from 1 species
UGUUUUUGUUUUUGCAUAUAGUUUGAACAAAGCAGAGGGCACGUUGCCUCGAGCGUUGAGUGUUGCAUGAAACAAUAUGAAGCAACAGAAGAGGAAGCAUACAAUGAGCUCCGGAAACAAGUUUCAAAUGCAUGGAAGGAUAUAGAAGAAGAACGAGAAUAAUGUUUGGCAGCUGAGAAAAUGAAUAACCAGAUCUGAAUAUUUUCUUAGAACUAAAUUUCAUUAAUCAAAAAACUUAUUCGUAUGUACAAAGUUGUUGCUAUUUAUACUAAGCUGAAGCUCAGCACUAAACGAUGUAAUUAGCUGCAACUAAUUCACUUAUUCUGUUAACUAACUAUAACAGCUUUAGCUAAUUAACAUAUGCACAACUAAUUACAUAACCACCAGGCUCCAGCUGGCAUGCCAUGUCAUCUACUCGUAACUGUAUGCUGCUGCUGCUGUGAUCCUCUGCUUUGCUGGUAAUCUUGCAAACAUGAGCUUCCUUGACAUCCCCCCUCAAGCUCAAUGGUCUGUUGAUGACAUUGAGCUUGGAUAAAAAAUAGUUGAACUUGGGAAAUGACAGAGCUUUGGUAAGGACAUCAGCAACUUGUUCUUCAGUAGGAAUGUAUCUCACUUCUAAUUCUUUUCCAAGCACUUUAUCUCUAAUGUAAUGGACAUCCAACUCAAUGUGUUUUGAUUUAGAGUGAAGAAUAGGAUUUCUAGCUAACUCUCCUGCACUCUGAUUGUCACACCAAAGGAUUGGAGCUGGUAGUUGGACAAUGUUAAGUUCUGACAGCAGAGAUUGCAGCCAUGAAAGUUCUGAACUUGCUGAAGAGAGUGCUCUGUAUUCACUUUCAGUGCUUGACUUAGCUACAAUAGCUUGUUUUUUUUAUGACCAGGAAAUCAGAUUAUUACCCAAGUAAAUACAGUAGGCUCCAAUAGAUUUUCGAUCAUCAAUAUCACAUGCCCAGUCAGCAUCAGAGUAUCCAGUUAGACCUGUAAGUCCAAGAGUUCCCUCCUUUUGGAUAUAUAAACCAUGAGUGGCUGUAGCUUGAAGAUACCUGAGAACUUUCUUGCAUGCUAACCAGUGCUGGAGUGUAGGAUUACUGAGAUAUUGGCUGAGUUUGUGUACAGAAUAUGCAAUGUCAGGCCUGGUGAGAAUCAAAUAUUGAAGCCCUCCAACAAUGCUCCUAUAAAGAGCUGGUUCUUCGAAUUCCUGCCCCAGAGGACCUUGAACAUUCUUCUCUAGUUUGAAACCAGUGCUGAAAGGUGUAUCUGACCCUUUGCAGCUUUGCAUUGAAGCUUUGCUUAUCAGAUCCUUGAUAUACUUAGUCUGUGACAAAUGCAUUCCUUGAGCUGUAUAACAUACUUCUACUCCAAGAAAAUAAGCCACCAAUCCCAGAUCCUUGAGGGCAAAGACCUUACUGAGAUUACUGAUAAACUCUUCAAGUAAUGUUGAGUCAGGGCCAGUCACCAGAAUAUCAUCAACAUAGAUCAAUAUAAUAAUAAUGCCUUUAUCAUCAUGCUUAACAAAAAGAGAUGUAUCAGCUUUAGAAUUGCAGAAAUUCCAGGCAGUAAGACAGCUUUUCAGUUUAUCAUACCAAGCUCUUGGAGCUUGUUUCAAACCAUAUAAAGCCUUGGUAAGCUUGCAUAUGUAGCCUUCUUUGGACAUAAAACCCUCAGGCUGAAUCAUAUACACAUCCUCUGACAAAUCCCCAUUUAAGAAGGCAUUAUUCACAUCAAUUUGUCUGACAUUCCAACUUUUCAUGACAGCUAGGCUAAGGAUUAAUCUUACUGUUGCAGACUUCACUACAGGACUAAAUGUUUCUGAAUAAUCUAUACCUGCAGUUUGAUGAAAUCCCUUGGCCACCAGCCUAGCUUUGUAUUUGGAAACUGAGCCAUCUGUGUUGUACUUGGUUCUGAACACCCAUUUGCAUCCAACUGGUUUAUAGGAUGAGCACAUGGGCACCAGAGUCCAAGUUUUGUUCUUAGUCAAAGCAUCAUACUCAGACUGCAUUGCUGCUUUCCAUUUGGGAUCAGAUAAUGCUUCUAAAACAGUGGAUGGUUCCAGGCUAUUGUGAUCUGUUAGGUAGGCCUUUGGUUUGAAUAUUCCAGCUUUUGCUCUGGUUAUCAUUUUGUGUGUGGAAGGAAUUGGAUUAGGUUGAGAUGAUUGUGCUGGGUGAAUCAAAGAGUGUGACAUGGUAGGUUGAGUUGGUGAAGAGAAUGUGGUUUGCUGGAAUAAAGUAGCAGGUGGUGAGGGUUGAGAUGAUGUGUUGUGAGGAAGUGGUGAAGAUGUAAUAUCAAGAUUAUCAGAAUUUUGAUCAUUACUUGCAGUAGCAGCUUCAAAGGUAUUCAAAUUGCUAUUAGAAAUAGGUAUAGUAUAUUGCUGAAGAAGAUUGGAUUGAAAUCCAGAAGACUUGGAUGGAGAAGAUGAACUGAAAAUGGAGGGAUAUGGAAAUGAAGUCUCAUCAAAAAUAACAUGACUUGCUAUAUAGAUUUUUCCAGAGGGAUGGAGACACUUGUAACCCUUAUGCACAGAACUAUACCCCAAGAAGACACAUUUGGAUGUAUGAGAGUGAAACUUGUGUUGAUUAUAGUCUCAGAGAAAGGGAAAACAUGAACAUCCAAAUGUUCUUAAGAAUUGAUAAUCUGGAGUGAAAUGAAAGAUAGACUCAUAAGGGGAUUUCAUUGACAGAACUGGAGUAGGUAAUCUGUUGAUAAGAUAUGUGGCUGUAUGAAAGGAAUCCCACCAGAAUUUAAUAGGUAGAUUGGCUUGUGUAAGAAGAGUGAGACCAAGUUCAGUGAUAUGCCUAUGCUUUCUCUCUACAAUGUCAUUUUGGUUGUGAGUGUAUGGACAUGAAUGUCUGAAUUGGAUGCCCUCUGUUUGAAGAAAAUUAACAAAUGAUCGAAAUUCUCCCCCCCAGUCUGAUUGAAGACAUUUGAUAGAUCUGUCAAGUUGUUUCUCUAUUUGGUUUUUGAAAACUUUGAAGACUGACAGUGUUUCACUUUUAGUUUUCAAAGGAAAAAUCCAAGUAAAUCUUGUGAAGUCAUCAACAAAGCUCACAUAAUAUCUAUAGCCUUGUGAUGAAACCACAGGGGCUGGUCCCCAUAAAUCAGUAUGCAACAUAUCCAAGGGAGACUUUGUUUUGAUAACAGUAGCUGGAAAAUGAAGUUUGUGCAUUUUUCCUAUUUGACAAGCAUCACAAAAAUCAAAGGUUUUAGUUUUAUUUUCCAGUUUGAAAGAUGAACAUGCUUUGAUUACAUAGCUCAAAAUCUUAGAAGAUGGAUGUCCCAAUCUUUGAUGCAAUACAGAGGUACUUAACAAACACUCAGAAUUUUUACAAGGAGUUGCUGCAGUGUGCAGACAAGAAGCAUUAUUUGAAAGAGUAGAGUUGACAACUGAAAACAUUGAAAGAGGAUUGGUUGGUAUUAUUGACUCAGCAACAAAGCUUUGACUAGAUGCAGGAGAUACUUGAUGAACAGAGGGAACUGGCUUAUUAGAUGAAACUAAUAGCAAUUUGUAUAAACCAUUUUCAGCUUUGCCCUGCAGUAUGAUCAAAUUCCUCACCUUGUCCUUCACAAAGCAGAGAUUAUUAGUAAACUCAAUCACAACAUCAUUAUCAUUAGUGAGUUUAGAGAUGCUAAUAAGGUUUUUUGUAAUUUGUGGCACUAAAAGGAUAUCAUUUAGCUUAAGAGUUAAGGAGGUAUUAUGGGAGUUAUGUGAUUUCAAUGCAGCACUACCAACAUGUGUUAUACUCAAUCCAGCACCAUUGCCAACAAGAAGUUUAGAUAUACCUGUAAACACUUCAGAGACAUGCAUGUUGUUGAUAUCAUUUGUCAGAUGGUGUGUUGCACCACUAUCCAAAUACCAGUUAGCAUCAGCAGGUCCCUCCAUAUUAGCCAAAUAUGCAGACUUUGGAUUUCUAUUUGGUGGUGGUCUGUAAGAUCCAGAUGCAAUAAAUUCUUCAAGCUUCCAGCAAAUAUUGGCAGUAUGGCCUGUUCUGAGACAAAUCUGACAGGUUGGCUUAGAGACAUUCCAUUGAGGCUUAGUGUUUCCAGAAGAUCUGCUAUUGUUAAAUCCACCAUUUCCAGCAUUUGGAUUCCAGUUGCCUCCUCCUCCACCUCUUUGAUUAUCUCCUUGAUAAGCCUUGAACUGAUAAUUAGUGCCAUAAGCACUUCCACUAUUUGCAUUAAAUCCAGAACCUCCAUUAUAACCUCCCUUGUAACCAUUACUGUUAUUGUUUCCACCGUUACCAUAACCAGGAUUAUAACCAAAGCCACCAAAACCUCUUCCUCCAGACAUAUUUCCCUUUUUGUAACCUCUAUUGUAAGUAAGAUUAGCCUCAAAGUUUUGUUUCACAUCGGUAUUAGCUAGCAUAUGAGUUUGUUGUUCAAUCCUAGCUUCUUGAGUUAGGAGCAUAGCAUAGGCUUCAUUUACAUUCAUUUUUCCUACUCCUACUUGUCCAGUAAUAUAGGUAGCAACAGAGUUAUAGUCUGGACCUAAACCAGAGAGCACAUGCAAGAUCAUAUCAUCAUCACUUAAUGCACUACCAGCAGCAGCCAUAUUAUCAGCAAUACUUUUCAUCUUAAUGAAAUAAUCAGUAAUUUUCAGAUCAUCCUUUCUAGUUGAGUUCAUCAUAUAUCGUAAGUGCAGAAGCCUAGAUUUAGACUGAGAUCCGAAUUGAACCUCUAUAGCUUUCCAUACCUCUCGAGAAGUCUCUAGAUUGAAGACUAAACUGAUGAUACAUUCACUCAUUGAAGAAAGUAACCAGCCAAGAAGCACCUGAUCUUGUGAUCUCCAAGUUGCGAAUUCUGGAUUUUCAACAGAUCUCAGUUCAUCUUCAAUUCGUUGAGCAAUGUGUGAGGGAGGUGGAAUGGUUGAAUUAUCAAUGAAUUUCUCAAGUCUGUUGCCACGGAUUGAGGCAAGAACUUGAGAUUUCCAAAUCAAAUAAUUGGAUUGAUCUAGCUUAAUAGGUGUAUUGAAAGUGAAUGUCACAUGUGUUGAAUUAACUGUUUGAUUAAUUUGCGCUUGAGAAGAAGAAGAAGCUAGAUGGACUGAAGCCAUUGUUACUGGCUCUGAUACCAAGAAGAAGAACGAGAAUAAUGUUUGGCAGCUGAGAAAAUGAAUAACCAGAUCUGAAUAUUUUCUUAGAACUAAAUUUCAUUAAUCAAAAAACUUAUUCGUAUGUACAAAGUUGUUGCUAUUUAUACUAAGCUGAAGCUCAGCACUAAACGAUGUAAUUAGCUGCAACUAAUUCACUUAUUCUGUUAACUAACUAUAACAGCUUUAGCUAAUUAACAUAUGCACAACUAAUUACAUAACCACCAGGCUCCAGCUGGCAUGCCAUGUCAUCUACUCGUAACUGUAUGCUGCUGCUGCUGUGAUCCUCUGCUUUGCUGGUAAUCUUGCAAACAUGAGCUUCCUUGACAGAUAUAAAUGAGGAUUGCCUACGACCAACUGUUGUGCCAAUGCCACUCCUUAUGCGAAUUCUCAAUCUUACGAGGGAUGCAGAUGUCACUUACAAGUAUGACGAUGGCUACACUUUUGCCGAAGUGCUGAAAGAUUUUAUUGCUUCUCUGUUUAUUAAUCCUGUGCCGAUAUGAGCAUGAUAUUAAGCUUAUGUUUCUCAAAACCCUGCUGCUAAAUAAUCAACCCUUUGCCGUUUGAGCUUUGAUGCUUUUUAAAAAUAAGUUGAAGGGUGGUGAUCCCCUGUUGUAAUCAGACUGCACUUAGAUAGACAAGUUUUAAUAAAUUUUUAUGUAGUUUUUAUUUAAUUUAAAUAAUCUUGCAGUUUGUACGAUUAAGAA